rnacentral:lncRNA from 1 species
ACCUGUUUGUAUAGAGUAAUUACGCACAGGCUUAACUUCUGAAAUGUUUUGCUCUGAAGACCUCACAUUUGCAUUUGCAUUUACAUAACCCAGAGAGUAUGCUACAUGUUGAGGAUCUAGUUCUCCAUUACAAUGAUCUGCAGAAUUGCGUUGAGCUUGCAUAUGAGUUUUUGACUGCUGCAUCAUAGAGAGAAUAAACUUCCCCCUCUCUGAAACCCGUUUAUACAGGAACAACCAAUUGUAACAGCACGAUACAGUUGUUAUAAGGAAGACAUAAAGAAGCACCACAACCUUUGAUGCAACAGAAAAGUAUCUGAGCCGGUAGACAAGUCUAUUGGCACUUGUGAGUAACAUGUAUCUUAAAUCUCUGUAACAUUGCUACAGAAACUUGGAAGCUUUCAGAUUGAACUGUUCGCAGACAAAGGUAACCAAAUUUUUGCUAUCGCUACCAAGAAAUUGGCAGCCCAAAGCACAGAAGCAGUCUUCUCUAAGAAUCCACAAGCAAUCAGAGCACACUCACCACAUAAUCUGCAUAAAAAUACAUUAGUCCAGGCAAGCAAUUCGACUUAACACUAAGUAGAUAACUAAAAACAAGUCAUGACCGAUGCCUUAAAUUAACUCACCAUAUUAAGUAAAAAAGUUCUUCUGUUUGCAUCAACUUAAAAAAAAAAAAAAAAAAAAAACCCUAAAAAUCAGGAGAACUAAAAAUAAUGGAUAGGUACUUUGCUUGGGAAAAAUAAUCGAGAUUUUAAGUGAAGCUGAUAUUUUUAGUGGCCUUUCAUUAAAAACACCUCCAGCCCUACAACUAAAUAUUCCAAAAGUUUAUAUUGCAUUUAGAAACUAUAGCGAAACUUUCAUAUCCAAAUUUUAUUUAUAAGACACUGUCAGACAAUUUUUCAAAUUUACUUCAAAAACCCAUUUUAAAGCCAUUAGCUCUGUCCAUAAUAUUCUACCUACGGCACACCAAUGAGAACUAUGGUUCAUCUAAAAUGAAAUAUAUUCCAUAUCGCCAGGUACAUCAGUGAUGGUAAAAAAGAAAGUAAAAUUUUCCAAUAAAAGAUACGGAAAUACUAACAUGAAAUGACAAAUUUGAGGGAGGUAACAUGUGGAAUAAAUCUAUCGUCCAUGAGAUAGAAGUAAAAGAAGUAAUUAUUUCACCAAGAAGCUUCAAAGGGAACAUUCUAUUGCUACAUGUUCAAAAAUGGCAGAUACGGGUAGUCGUUAUAAUAUCCACCGUACAUUAAGUCAUUAACAGAUAAUCACACCAAACAUAUCGAAUGAUCAAUCAAAAUAGAACAGAUGAAGUAGAAAAGUUGAGUAAACAUUAAGGGAAAAGCUCGAAUCCAAAAGAAAUACAGAUCUAAUGUAGCAAAAGAGUAAAGAAAAAAUACAACAAAAAGGUAUCUUGGGUGGAAGAACCAAUGGAAAAGGAAAAAGAAGAAGUUGGUGGAGUAAUGAAAUAUAAGAAAUUAGCUCAGCAUGGGAAGGUUGUAGUUAUGUCUUGGUACAGUCAAACAUAUGACAUUACCUUAAAGAUGCGUAGUAGUGUAGAGCACAUAAAAAUACGUCUCUCCCUCUCAAUCCGGGGCCGAAUUUCUUAUACUAAAUGAUAGUAUAAAUAAACCUCCUCCUCCUCCUUAGUAGUCCUUAAAUCAGUUGGAAAAGAAUUGGAUUUGGUACUCCGCCUCCCUUCUUAAUCAGUAAUCAAUCUGGUGCGUCUUCUCUUCUUGCGAUGAAUAGGAAUAAAGAAUUCCUUCUUCUUCUUCCACGCACGUUUCCAGUUUAAUAAGCUGGAGUUUGAGUUGAAUCAGAUUCAUAAAUGAAACGGUUGAAUUGAAAAUUUUCCCAUUAACCUUCGGACCUUUCUGCGUAGGUUUGUAGUCAAAAUAGAAGGUCAUAUUCAUUUGUCCAUUCCCCAUUUCGCCCCUCCUUGCUUGGCAGUUGGCUCUUCUACUUUCCUCUUUUUCCAAUUCCAGUUUCAUCUAUCUAGGAGUAAUUCUUUUUUCGAUUUUAGGAUUUCUUUAUUAUUUUACUUUAACAAAUAAAGACAAAGGAUUCUCUUCUCUUCUUCUUUUCUCUUUUUUUUUUUAAUUUUGCUCCGAUGUUGAAAUAAGGCUUAUGAAAAUAUCUAAAUUAUUAUUUGUAUUUCUAUAAAGACUUCGAUUUAUUGAUGAUCAAUGCAAAGCUGAAAAUAGAUUCAUCUGAAUUGCUAUCUACCGGUGGCAUUUUGAUGAUGGGUUCUGCGCCAAUAAUUAAAUAUUGAUACUCUUUUUUCUUUUCUGUUUUGUUUGGGUUGGUUGGGUAAAUACUGCAAAUAGGGGAGAGACGUUUUUAAUGUUGGAUUCACCAGAAGAAAAAAAAUGUGUGGAAAAAAAAAAAAAAAAUCUUACCCGCCACCCAAAAGAACUCCAGGAAUGAAUUUCCCCUACUAUCACCGCCACCCAAAAGAAUUACGUACAUAAAAACUGAUGCUUGGCCCACGGACGGACGGGCAGAUUGUCUUGCUCUUGCGUCGAUUCAACUUCAUGUUCGUUCCACUACUGUUUUUUCCACUCAAUAAUAAUAUAUAAUAUUUGCACAAUGGGUCCAAUUUUCACCAAAUUGUAAAAACUGAGUUGAAUGUUACUACUUGCUAAUGAAACGCAACUGGUUGCAGCUAAAAGUAACUAAAAGCCAUGGCCGGCAGGAGACCUGAUGAUGGCUGACAGACCACCGGCACCACACCACGCCACUUUCAUUAACUUCAACAGAUAUCGGAUUUUCUUAAUGUAUAUUGUGGCCUUUUUACUGCGCUUUAUAAAUGCAAUGCAUUUCUUAUACUAGUAGUUCCCAGUUGGGUACGUACUUUUAGUCAGCACCAAGGUCUAUUAGUUCUUUUGAAAGCAAGUGACAUAUAUAUAUAUAUAUACACGAGCACUCGUACAAGAGAAACAUACUCCAGGUACCAUACGCUGUAAAGAAAUGUGAAAAUUCCACCCCCGACUUAGAAGCAAGUAAAUGACUGACUUCAAAAAGAACGUAAAAACUAUAUAUGCAUAUGCCAUGUUGCCGGUAGUGCACACGGUGCUGCAUCAGUCCAAUCCUUUUACCUUGUCAUCUGCAUGGAUGCACUCGGUCGUCUGUCCUUGUUCCGCAAUAAUGUUGAAGGCAUAAAAGAAAAAAACUGUGAUGGCGCUAUCAGCUCAGAGAAUUCUGCAGUCUCCUCCUCCUCUGAAAGGGGAGCAGGGUCAUGUAUCAACAAAUACAUAUUAUGUCCUGUCCGCUAAUGCAUAAAAGAACAAAUACCUACUUCUUCACGUCUUCAUAAUGGCUCAAGGCUUCCUCAAAUUUCAGCCAAAGUGGACCCGUCUCCUGAAGGUUUACAUUCUGCGGUCCAGCAAGAUAAGCCUGAACAACAAACUGGGGUGUUCUCUCCCUGUUGAUACCAUCACGUAACCUCUCAAGUCAUAUGAAAGACACAAAUGGCUAGGAAGUCUAUUUUGACAUCUAAACAUGACCCAAAAACAUACCUCCCUUCGUAUUCUGAUAGCCAAGCCAAAUAGGCAGCACCAAAAUACAUGGAGACAAAAGGCUUGCAGAGGUCGUCAACUGAAUCUACUAUGUAAGCCUUGUAGCCGACAUCCCUAGUCGUCAACUCAAGUGAGUUAAAAGCAUUAAUAAGAUGUACAAAUCGCUAGUUACAUGAUGCUUUAGUUUUACAAAGAAGAGAAAAUGCCCCACCUAAAAAUAGAAGCCCUUUUCAAAAUCAGACAUCAAAAGAAAAAGGUUGAAGAAGCAAAGCCGAAGCAUUUUGAGGAUUACAAGUGCAUUGACCUUUUAGACUUUUACAAGAUAAUUCCACGUGGGUCAAGGAAAAAUUAGACAUCAAAUACCAUUUAAACUGAUGUCAUUAAGCAACAGCCCUUAGGCUCGUAUACUUGGCCAACAUAAGUAGGUGUCCAGUGAAAUCAUCUAAGAAUGUUAAAAGCCUAGGAAGCAAUAAAAUGAGCACUCAUCCUCAGAUAAGAAAUGGCAGAUUUCGAAUAAAUCACAUACUUGUAAAGCCAUCGUGCUGUCGGGUAGUCAAUUCCCAUCAAACCAGUACGUUGUCCAACUCCAUUCACAAAGCGCAUGCUAACAAUCUCCGCAAUAGCACACAAAACAGUCUGCACGAGAAUGAGCUUAUAAAUGAUAAAAUACAUUAUCUCCUUCCCUCAAAUACACAAAGCAGUCAAUUCCCAUCAAGGAGAAUGAUGUAACCACACUAGAAGAGUCCAAUAAGAAGAGUCAUGUUAGGCAAAAGAACGCAUCUUAAAAGGGCAGCAGAAUGGGUUUUGUCUAAGUGUCUGUUUGAUAACAUAAAAAAGUGCUGAAACUGAAUUCAUUCAGACAUUCAGAUGUUUUGAGUGUUUGAUAAAUAAAAAUUUUUCUGCUGAACUUAUUAAGUGGUGCUGAAUUUGUAUGUAUUUUUUUCAGCAUAAGAAUUGUAACUGAAUGCUUAAUUUGAUAAGAAACAAGAGAUUUACUUCAACUAUUUUAUCUUAUCUACCAAAUCUAUCCUUGUUUGUUAAUUACAUUCAAAAUCCUUAUUGAAUUAAACAAUUUAAUAUUUUCUAUCCAAAAUCCUUAUCUAAUUAAACAACCUGACAUUCUCUGUCUAAUGGCUUUCUACUUCUAUUUUCUCCUUAUUUAAUGAUAUUUUUUACAAUUUCUUUAUGCUCCUCACAUUUGUCUACUCCUUAUCCUUUUCCAUCUUUCUACUCUUUCAUAAUUUUGUCAUUUUUUUACUCCCAAUUUUUUUUAUUGCUACCGUACUCACCGAUCUCAAAUUCAUUUUUUCCAAGGUAAGUGACAUUGAUUAUUUGUUGUUUUGCUUUCAACAUUUUUCCAUUGAAGUAAUUAAAUUUCUAUAUAAUUUGGUGUGAAUUUAAAACUUGUUUAUUGCAGCUUCCUUUUGCUUAUAUUUAGACUUUUCUUAUCAAACUCUAAUUUAAAAAUAUAUUUGCACCGAUAUUUGGACUUUUUCAUAAUAUAUUUCUUCUUUUAUAUUACUUUGAUUUAAAAAUAAAUAUUGGCAUUUUCAUACCUAACAAUUUUAAACUAAUUAAAUCAUAUGUUCUAUUUCUUUUUUGGAUUGAAAGAUAGAAGGGCAAAAUUGUACAAUUUAGUUUAUUAAGCAUUAAGUUAUAAAUGUUUAUCAAACAGUAUAAAUAUAUUCAGCAUUAAGAUUCAGAUAUUCAUAUAUCUCUUUUCAGUGCUUAAUAUUCAGCAAAUUAAUUGUUUCAGUAUUCAGAAUUCAGAAUUCAGAGUUCAGAUUCAGUUUUAUCAAACGGAGCCUAAGAAACCCUCUCUUUUUUUCUAACUGAAUGGACAGUAAUCAAGUACUUACAGGUUCUACUCGUCUUGUGCUGAAGUGCUUUGAAAGAAUGAUUUCCGAAACAGCCUAUAGAAGAAACAGCAGCAUAAAUCAGGCACAGUUUUGAGUCUGAACAGUACAGUAAGUGCUAUACAGAAACGUGAACAAUUCUUGAGGCUUCUAAGAUGAGAAAAUGCUUCCUCUUAUCUCACUGGAAAGGUCAAACAGCAGAGAUAUCUUGGACAAAAUUUCAUGAAGCAUUACCAUCACAAAUGAACGAAUCCAAGCGCUCAAUGAAGAAGUUUGAAUGAUUACUUGUUCGCUGGAUUGUCACAAUUAGCACAUCUAGACUAUAUAGCAUGUAAACAUAUCAAAUACUAAUAAACAAGGAUAAGAGAGUGAUUUCCGAAUUAUAGAACUAAUUAAUAACAUCAAGAUAUUUGCUUGAGUAUUUGUUUUGUCCCCUUUAAGGCAUCCUAUGAUUAAAUCAUAUCAAUUGAAUGAAUAUAGGUACAAACAAAACUCAUUACGUCAGUCAACCCAGCUAUUAAAAGAAAUUAAAAACUCCCAUAAGCCUGCAGCAGUUUUGUCUAAGAAAAGCCCAUGACGUGUCUGCUUGCGAGCACAAACAGUUAAUUGGCAUUAAAGAUGAAUUAACAUCAAGUGAAACUACACAGGUAUGCAGAAAACGAACUUAGAGCACAAUGGAAAAGGAAAUUGCAAAAUGCGUUCCCAAGAGAGAUCAAAUUAAAGAAAAAGGCUAACAUUCAAUCGUCAGUCAUUAAAUACGCAUUGUAUAAACAAUAUCUCACCCUUAGUUCUACACGGGAAAGAUAAGGCCUCUUCUCUGUGUCAUGAGAAAAUCGAACUUUUCCCUUUUUCUCGCCUGACUUCAUCCAUUCCUUAUUGACAUUGGGAUGAAUCCACAUAUCUUCCAUGUCUUCUUUCGAAGUUCUGGAGUCCCAAGUUGUAUUCAAUGGACCUGCUGCCUCAUGUAUAAACACACAAAAUUUCUCUUUCAGCACAAAUUGGAGUGAAUUAAUAAAGAUAGAAUGAGAUUCACAGUAGUCAUAUCAUAAAAUUCAAACUGCUAAUUUGGUAAAAGUCAAACUAGUCAGGUUCCAAGGAUUGACCUAGAAAAAUUGGAAAUAGAUUAGACUGAUUAGGCACUACUUGCAAGGAAUUCAUACUAAUAAAACACCAGAAAAGAUAUUUCAUUCUGGAGAUGCAGCCUCAUCUUCAAUGAGGAAAGUGCACUUCUUCUGUCUCCUUAACUAAGGUAGCCAAACAGAAUUUCAGCUUUCUGUUUUGGUGUAAAGACAAAAUAGUUAAACCCAAAAUGUUCUAGAAACUAAGAUGAGAUAUUUCUAGGACAGAACAACUUAAUCUGAGUCCUCCACUUAUUCUGUCACUAAACCAACAACAUAACCAGAAUCAUAUUCCAACAGGGAGACUGCAUUUUUUCAUAGAUUAAUCAGAAGAUAACGAAAUUUGAAACAGAGUCAAAAACAGCGGAACAUGUGUAUCGACCAACUUAUAAAGCAAUGAUCAUAAUACUUGCACAUAAAAAAAUUUACAAGUUCAGCUCAACUUAUCACCUUCGAGUUAACGAGGAACCAUACACUAAUCAGCAACAGAGUCUUAUGUGAGUAUAUAUAUUGACACAAUUCGUUUACCCACCCUAGAUUGAUUAAACUGACAACUAUAUGAGUUAUUUCAAGCUACAGUAGAGCAUAGCAGUAAACAUUCAUUGUUGCACAAAAUCAAAAUGAUCUCCAUGCCAAAAAUAGCAUCUUCAUCAAGUAGCCAGUAGAAUGAGAAUACUAGCUUCUAAAUAGGGAUUUACUUCCUUGUAUUAUUGUCAAAACUACAAAUUAUGUAGUACAGAUAUUAAAUAAAAAAACCAAUAACGUCAGCCUUGAGACUGUAGUGUUAAAGAAAACAAUAUUGAUGACAAAGAACCUAGGUUUACGCUUAUCAAACUUGUAGCAAAGCACCUUUUGUUUUUGUAACUGCAGGAGCUGCUGAAGAAGCCGUAGGCAGAGGACUAACUUCAAAGACUUUUCUGCAAAAACAUUAACAUAAAGUGGUUGUUAACAAUUAUUGCCAUGUAUAUUAUUAUAUUAUGCUGGAGUUUAAUGCCAAAUAUCCUUCUGAACAAUUUUUAAGAUACCUCCAUAAGGCAUCAAUUUACAUCUAUUAUGUCAAAUUGUACGGCAAUUAGAAUAAAUUGUUUCUCAGUACUCAUAAUCUCACUCUGAUGGCUUGCUAGGUAGAAGCACUAAAUUGCCAUAAAAAACCUAUGCGAGAGAGAGAGAGAGAGAGUUCAAAUUUAACAGCCUUUGGUAUUCGCUUGAAUGAUAAUCAGGUCUGGAUUUCAGAAACUUUCCAUUCUCUUCAUCAAGUGCAGUCUGCUGUUUAAAUUAUGUUUCCAAAUGAUAGAAUAUUUAUUGGUGGCAGAAAUUUAUUCCCACAAGUCAGGACAUUUUUGCCAUAUCCACUAUAAUAAGUUAACUGUCUGACUAAGCCUACUCUUUGUUCUAGGUAACUUUGGAUUUUAGAACAAUCAUUCUCUAAUAACAUGUUGGUAGAGAGAUGCCUGUCAUUUCGUAGACAUAAACAUUCAAGACUCCAUGUGCUGUAUCCAAAUAUCACUUGCAUGAUGAUUGCUCAAGAUUUCUGUUAUUAUAGGAUGUAAUGUAUCAAAAACUAGUCUGGAAAAUCAAGCACCAUUCCAACAUGAAUCAAACAUGAACUCCAAAAUAAUACAUGUGAUCCAUACACAUGAAUCCAACAUGACAUUUGCAUCUUGGUGAAGAGCUAAUAAAUAAAAAUCAUGACAAAAAGUAAAUACCUAGAUGGAAGACUUUCCUUUACAGCAAGAUACUGUUUCCAGUAUUGCAAUGUUGACUUGUGAGCCGCCUUCUUUGUGCCAGCUUUAUAAGCCCUUACCAUGAACUCCUCGCUUCUUUCUCUGAAUAAACAAUUAUAUGUUAGACACUAGCAUUUAUAGCACUUUGAAAUUUCCACAUCAACUACAAUAUUCCCAAAAGUUUACUCAAUGCCUUUUGAAAAAAGAUGUCCUACUUUACGGGACAACUCACACCCGUAAACUACAUCAAACAGAGAAAUAAAAGCACAGGGGCAACCAUGUUGAUCAUGACUAUUUGAUAACUAUAGGAAUGUGUUGGAGUACCACCUUUUUUCUUGCAUAAGGUAUCUAGAAACAAAUAAGGUAUUACACUGCAUUUUUGUUAGAGAAAAAAGGAGAUGAUUCGCAGCGCAUAACAUGGGAUGCAAAGCAGUUAUUUUCAGACAAAGAGUCCAAAUUAAAAAGGAUACCACAAAAACACAGAUAAAAAAAUUUUCAACAUACUUUUGGUCAUAAUUUGACAACCACUUGAGAUAUGCAGCACCAAGAUAUACAUUUACGAAAGGCUUGUAUAGAACUUCUGGAUUCCCUGAUAUUUCAUACCUCUGAUAACCCAAAUCUCUGCAGGAAAAGUGCUUGCGUUAUAUUCAUUAUGAAUAAGAGCAACCGAAAGUAAAAUAUUUUGAAAAGGCCAAACAGUCUUGAUCAAAAUCUUACUCCAAUUCAUACCUGACUAGCCAUUGUGCAGUUUUUGGUAAGAUCUGCAUUAUCCCCAGUGUAGUCUCCUUUGAUUUUUUGUUAUACUGAGUAGCCAGAGGCUGCCUAUCACUUUCAAGAGUAGCGAUUGCACAAAUCAUAUCCUGCAGUACAGGAAGAAGACAAUUAGGACUAUAUAUUUGAACAUCAUUUAUCAAUCGACUAAGAAUCAUAAAUUUUUACUGAAACUGAAAUUUUUAUUAUUGAACAACUUUUUUCUUUGGUAUCAGAUGUUCAGCUGAACUUUCAAUUUAAUUCAGGAUGAAAUGAAGCCAACUGAAUUGAGCUUGGGUUUAAACAAGCCGAACUCAACAAAAAUUUAGCAAGCUCGCGCUUGAGAGCACCUAAUAUAAAGAUAUAGUUCGAGCCUAAAAAGACUAAAAUAAGAAUAGAUAAUAAUUAUAAAACUCUUUUUAGUGGAUAAACUAGACAUUAUACCAUAUUAAUGGGCUCGAUCAAGCUUGACGAACCUUCGAGUAGAGCAUCAUAGUACUCGAGCUUGGUUACUCAUUCGACAGGUGAAUUGAGCUGCUUGAGCUUUUUGGAUACCAGGUCGAGUCGUUGACCAAGCAGGCUCGCCAAGCUCAUAAACCAGAUCAAUUCAUUUGCACCCUUAACAUCACUAGAUGUGGACCUCACCCCAAUUCACAAUUCUAAAGAUGGCAAUUCAAGUAUGAUACAUUAUUAUGUUCCAAGCCUAGAGGAAAUUGGCGGUGAAAACAUUAUGUGGGAUUUGAUCAACUGUGAGAGGAGAUCUCAAUAAAGAUCUAUAUUGGAAAUCAUGAUAUGAAGAUGUCCAUGGCAUGAUGCUUUUGAUAACAAAACUUUUUUAAGAUUUCAUAUCACACAUGCAAUGACCAGCAUAGAUGCACUAUCUUGAGCUGCCUCUCCCAUGGCCAUUGACUGACUGACUGACUGUAGCACCAGAGGAGAAUGAUAAUUUCACAACAAAUAACAUCAAUAUUUUACAUGUCAGGAAAUCAUUGUUGAGCAUGUUUAAAUAAAUUAAACAAGAGAGAAUGAUGAAAAACUACGGAUUACCCCGUCAAUAAAUGGAACAUAUGAGCUUUUCGUUAUGCCUUAAUGGUUACUAGACUUAUACUAUGUGAGAUGUUCGUGCUGCAUUUCACAUGAGAUGAGAAUGUCAUACCGAAUCUAUCUGUGAAACAAAAUGCCUUCGGACUAUGAUCCCUGCGACAGCCUGCGAAGGGAAAAAUCCAAUUUAAGUCAGGAAAGAACAGGAAAAAAAAAGAAAACUGAAUAAUAGUAGUACUUUGAGAAGCGGGUCAUUUUUGUGACGUCAGAACCAAUUUUUUCAGAGCAUGUGGAUAUAAACAUCAUUUGUUGGUCAAGAUCCAGACGUAAGACAAGGUAAAAGUGUAGAGUAAAACAACAAACUGUAACUUUCAUUUCUGUUUUCGAUAAGUAUUUCAGUCGAAACUGCUUUACAACCAAUACCUAUUGAUAAAUCAAAAUCAAAGCCAUGAUACCAACAACCACUUCAGGAGUCUAAUAAUGUCCAGAGUGAAGUUAAAAACUAUCAAAAUUAGCAAGGUAUGCUAAUUAGAGUGAUUUCGAUGCUGACAUACGCAUUACCUUGAUCUCAGUUUGUGUCAAAUAAGGUUGGCCAUCGGGAUCACGUGAGAGGUGGACUUUUGAACCUCUAGUUUCUCCAGCAUUAAGCCAUUCGGCUUGCACAGCAGGAUCCAUCCACAUGGCCUCCAAGUCCUCGGGGUCCACACAAUCAUCCCAGUAAAUAAAGCUGACAGUCAUCCUCUAAUUUGCGAUAGCUUUUCCAGCAUCUAACAGCAGAAGGAAGGCGGACUAUUAAUGAAGCGCCAACUGCAGCAAUGCAAAGACAAGCCCGCAACACAUGAGUAAACAUUGCUGUUGGCCCAGAAAUAAAGAUGUGCCAUGGGAGACUUGGACUGGUGCUCUAACUACAAAGUGGGACAUUAAUAAUUACUGUUGUACAUAUUAAACAAUACAGCUAAGUAAUAUUGCAGUAGCAUUAGCUAGGGAAACAGGAUUAACCAAAAUUUUGAAAUAUGUCGUGGCAACCAAAUUGGAGCCAAAUGAAAUUAACCAUCCAUCCAUCACGAUAUUGAUGCCUUAAUGAUUCUCAGCUUUAGAUUAUACUACUGGCUUGUAAGUUACAUUCUGCAAAGCACCAUUGAGAACGUAUCGUAAAAAUAUACAAGAAGUCGGAUUAUUAGGAUAUAACCAAAAAAAAAAAAAAAUCACCAAAUUCCAGAGUGCCAGCCCAUUCAAAACAGCGAGUAAGGAUUGGUAUUCGUAUUUCGAUAAGCACUACCAAAUUAGAAAUAUUAUAUACGACAUUUAACAAUCAUAUUCAUCCCUUUGUUGUGGGGGGGGGGGUGGGGAAGUUUGCCAGGAGGAUUUUGAUUAUAUUAUUAUUAUGACCAUUAUUGAGACCAAAAAAAAAACGGUCGGAGACUGUUGAAAGUUGAAAAUAGCAUGCAAGAAUCAUCUUCUUCCUUCCGUAAUAGAUAAAUGCCGUAGGUAGUACAUUAGAAUAAAUUCAGGAAAAAUAAAAAGGGGGAGGAGGAGGUACCGUUGAGACUAGAAAAAAGCACGUGGAUCAUGAGAUAAUGGGCGGGAGGAGUUUCAUUAAUCUUAAUCCCCUGUUGAUGGCUGCAAGAAAGGAGGAAUGGCUUCUCCAGUUGUCCAGGUUUCCACCCUCUUCCCCCCGGGAAGCAGCCCGGACGCACGUUUUUUCUUUUUUUUCCUCCUUCUAAAUCAAUACCAGCUUAAUAAGAAGUCCCUUAAAUUUUUGGGGAUUUUUCUUUAUAAAUUUUUGUGAGGGCCAAAUUUCGGUUAUUAAUUGGGAGUGGAUUUGGAUCGUAUAUCUUGAACAUUGAGGGGGUGGUGGCGGUGGUGGUGGUGGUUGUACACGAGCAAUGCAGCUUUUUGCAGUUUGGUGGGAAGAAGAGAGAGAGGGUGGGAGAUGUGACACGUGGUCUGCCGCCCCUCUCUCCCACCUAAACCGUUGCUGCCUUUCAACGCUUAAAGCAUCCCUCCCAAAAUCCCCGUGGGGCCAAAAAAAAAAAAAAGGAAAAUGGAAAAUGGCCGGUGUCUUGCACUUUUAGUUUGUGAAAGAAAAAACAAAUAAAAGCAAAAUAGGAGUUUUGAAUAUAUUUUUAAUCGUCAAAGUUGAUGUGAGUUGACAAAGAGAUUAAAUUAAAGUGCAACGAACAGAACAGUACAGAACAUUAUAUUUAUUAUCUUCCAAAAAAAAAAGUCACACACACUCAGGGGGCUUAGUGUGUUUUAAUUAAUUUUUUAAAAAUAUACAAAUAUCACGUUCAAAACCGGGCAUGCAUGAGUAGAACAUUACGAGUUGGAUUGCGGAAUUGGAUGGAUGGACGGACAGAUGGGGAAGUGGAAGAAGACGCCGACGGACGGAGCAGAGGGACGGGCGAGGGAAUGAAAACUGAAAAGAUGAAAACAAGGCGAGAAGGGCAGCAGGGGAGUUGGACUGACGUGGUUAUCAAGCGGGGCCCCGCCAAAAGGUCCUCCAGUUGGCAGGUUCGCCAAGAAGAUCGUCCUCAACAGAGAGCUUAUCACAAAACGACAGCAUUCCACCCGUCUUCCUAGGCAGGCUUCCUAGUAAACACACACACGCACGCAUCAGAGCCGCACCAUCAAGAAUAUGCCAAGGUCCACCUCACAGGCUCACACGUGAAACAAGUUCCUCCAGCAUAUACUCCAUGUGCUCUAUUCUCCUCCUGGUAUUACUAUUUACUACUGUAACUGCGGAAGGGUGAUCCCGGCCCAAAUAAGAUCCUAGUGCCACUUAAUCAUUGGAAAGGCAAUGCCACUCCUUCAUUUGAUGUCAAGUCAAAUAUUUAAUUAAUUUAAAUUAAAAUCAAAUAUCACAUGAUAACUUAAAUUAACUGAAUACUUAGCAUAAUUUUAAGAGUGAUAAGUGGCACAUAGGAUCUCAAUUGAUCCUCGCCGCGCCACUUCCAUGUUGUUAUCAUACUUCGCGUUUUAUCUAUUGUGUUAGUGAAAAAGUGUAUAUAUUCUAAAAAAUUUAGAAUUUUCUAAAAAGUUUUGCCAACGAGUACUUAAAUAUCCGUUUAGACCAGUGGUAAUUCAAUCCCCUCGGAUUCCUCAUCUUAACCCUUUUGGGCCACCCUUCCCCUUAGUAUAGAGUGGAAAUAGGUUUAUAUUAGAAUCUAUCGUGUCCAACAACAAAAUAUAUAUAUAUUAAUUACAGGAAAAAAAAAAGGGAUUCAUCUAGAUGAUGUAUGUGUAUGUGUUUUUUUUUAUAGUUGAUUAAAAUUUUACUGUGACUUACUAUAGACUUAUAUAAAAACUUUUAAGUAUCAAGAAUUUGAAGAAAAUUUCCUUAUUUUCUUUUUUCUCUUUUUUUCCUUUCUUUCCUCUUUUCUUCUUCCUCUCCAUACCACCAUUGCUUUUUCUCCUCCUCCUCUCCCCACCGUCAGCUUCCACCUCCUCACCCUUUUUUUCUUCUCUCUCUCUCUCUUCUCAUUUUCUAUUUUUUUUCUCAUCCUCCUCCCUCCCUCCCUUCUCCUCUUCUUCUUCCCUCUUCCCCAUCACACCCUAUCAUCUCUCUCUCCCUUCCUCUCAUCAUCUUCCCCUUCUCUCUCUCUCUCUCUCUCUCUCUCUCUCUCUCUCUCUCUCCCUCUCUCUCUUUGAUUGCAUAUGGAGGGAGAAGAAGAGAAGAGGUGGAAGGAAAGGGAAGGAGGUGGUAGGGAAAGAGGAGAAUAGAGGAGAAGAAGAUUGAGGAAUAACGAAAAAUAAGAAGAAAAUAGACAAGGAAAGGGUGGUGGAGACGAGUAGAAAUGAUAUGAGAGUGUGGUGGUAGUAUAUGGAAAAGGUCGCAUUUUUUUUAGUAUUUUAGGGUGUGUCUUUUGUAAAAUAUAGGGGGUGUUUUUACAAGUUCAUGUAGCAAAAAGUUAGAGAAAAACUACCUAUCAAAAACAUGAAAAAGGCAUCCAAACAGAACCUACAUUAAAAAUGUUGCACGUGCUAUUAUUGAAGUUUUUAUUAACUUUGUAUAUGUAAGUGUGUACAUGCAUGUUUUUUUUAAGUAAAAAAAAAACAUUUUAUUAGGAGGUAAAGGAACCUAAUUAAGUCACCUACUCUAGUUUUCAAGUUUAUUUAUUUAUUUGACAUGUUUGAAAUUAUGUUUAAAUUUGGUUGAUAUAUUUAUCGAACGUAAUUCAAACAAGUUUUUUAUUGAACCGAAUUUAAAUCGAGUUAAAAAAAUUUGAAUAUUUUAUAUAUAAAUUUAAAUUACCAUAUUGAUCAUGUCAAAUUUAAGUUGAAAUUACAAAAUUACCAAAUGCAAAAUAUUAUUGUUCAUGUUUAGUUUGAUUAGUUGGUAAACUUUUCAACAAACUUGAUAUAAAUAUGGAAUAGUUUUGUUGACUUUUUAGCCCUACAGUUUGCUCUUUCUCAGGGAGAUCAAAAAGGGGAAAUUGAAGGAAAAAAAGUGAUAGCAACAUCAAAAUGACUCUUUACACAUAGUGUAAUGGCCCUAUUUGGCAACUAAGUUUUUUUUUAACCUAAUUUUUCUUCUAUUAGUUUUUUUUUGAAUAACUUUAAUUAUAAGAAUCUCAAAAAAAUUUUCAAAAUUUUUAACAUCUUUUGCCACCAUCACUUUCCACAUUUUCCAGGUGAGGGAGGCAAAAGAAGAAGAGGGAGGAGAGAGGAGAAAGCACCGGUAAGUGAUUGUGGCGAGAAUGACAAAUAAGUCCACACGAAAUUUGUCCACACGAAAGCUCUGUUUUCAAACUCGGACCAGACCGGCCGGUCGAACCGGGAACCGGCCAGGUAGCCGGUCCGAGUCACAUUUAAAAACCGGAAAUGUAAGACCCGGUCAAAGCCGGUCAAAAACCGGGUUUGACCGGGAAAAAACCGAUUUUUCCGGUUCAACAGUAAUUUUUUUUAAAAAAAAUUCAAACUUUUUAAUAUUAUGUUUUGGCCCCCUAAAUUGUUAAAACUUAUUGAUAUACCUCAAAUAUUUGAUACUUUAUAAAUAUUGUCCUAAAAUUUGAUGUUAUUUUUCAAUUAAAUUCAUAAUUUUAAUUCUAAACUUGUUAAUAUUUAUUAAAUAAUAUAAAUUGCUACUUGAUUGUUCUAAUUUCUUUGUAUUUUCUUGUUAAAUAUAUUUGAAACAUCAAAUAUAUAUGAAUAUACCUUUAUUAAUAUCAAUAUAUUAUUAGAUAUUAUAUAUAUAAUAUUUUAAUUUUUAAAUAAUUUUUAUUUAUGACGUCAUCCGGUUCGACCCCUAUCGACCCCCGGUCGAACCCAUUGACCCCUGACCCCUGACCUCGGCCGAGUCGCUAUCCGGUCCGGUUCUGAAAACAUAGCACGAAAGUUAUAAAAAAAUAUAAAAAAAUAUUUUAAUAAAUUUUUAAAUGUACUUCCAAAUAUGUCUGCGCGAAAGUUUUUAUUAACAAACAAAGCUGCAAUAAACAAUAAUAUGUUCUUUCAAAAAGUAGCCUUAAAAGUAUCUAGUCCAUUCGGACUCCUUGUUAAGAUAUUUUUGCAUUUUUGGCUCCCUAAGCCUCGUGGGUCGUGGUUGUUGGACGGGGAUGAUCAUCAUGCUAGCAAAGGACACACCACUUAACAUGACAUUUGCUAGAUUGAGUUAGAAAAUGAAAUGUUUAAUUUUUUUUUUCUUAAAAAAAGAUAAAAUCAAACAUUAGAAAAAAUAAGGGAGGGUCGGUGCAAUAAAUGAGAAGAGCAAUUAGUGGCUGGAGCCCUAACAUAAUAAUGGUUGUAGACUUGUAGCGUAGGAGGAGGAAGGUGGACUGGUGGAGGCCGGAGGGAGGGAUCAUCCAUCAUCAACUACAAGUCCUGAGUACGUGCAUUCAUUCGUCCCGUGUAAGAAGAGUGGUAGUGUUACCCAUCAACUAUCAAUCCAUGUGAUCUCACAUCUUAAUCACACUCUUCUUGUUGUUUCUACAAAAGUGGUUUUGCUUUUACCACGACGUGACAUACCACAUUCAUGGGAUUUUUUUUUUAUUAUUUAAAUCACACUCCUAUUCCUGCAAAGUGCUUAUUUUUAUUUCUACAAAGUGAUUUACUGCAACGUGGUAAUUGCAGAAUUUUCGAAGAUGGUAAAUUAUAGGCGUCGAGACUCAAAUUUAGACUAGUGAGAGAGAGAGAGAGAGAGGGCGUGUGUGUUGUAUACAGUAGCAAGAAAGGAAAGCGGUGGUAGGGAGGGUUGGGGGCUGGUGUGGUUGGACGACAAGUUGGGGUUCGAUUCUUAAGAAUCUCCGCUGGUUUUUUUUUACGCAUUUAAAAAAGUUGGCUUUGCUAUUAUUUUUCCUUGUCAAACAAACGGAGAGAGAGAGAGAGCCAGCCAGCCAGCUCCCGAGACCCAGACUAAAGUAGUCUUCGUUGUAACCUAAUAAAAACCUCCAUUUCUCUCUCCCUCCCUCGUUAGGGUUUUACACUUUUGGUUGGGUUGGCUGGCUUGGGCUCUUCCAACCGCAGUAUCGGCGGUGGUUAAUAUAAGCGGAAGAAGAGUAGUAUUUGACGAGGAGUAGUAGUUGUUAUCGUUGGACUAACGCUGCCACCUUUCCCUUCCACUUCCAAAUUCUCACUUCUCACCUCUACUCAUAAUUUUCACCCUCUUUGGGGGGACCUCAGAGUUUUUUCCUUUAAAAAAAAAAAAAAUCUUUUUGAUUUGGUUCGGGUAUUUUGCGGUCAUGGCCUUGUCGUCGUCGUCUUCCCUUGUUAGAUCCACGCCAUCCCCGGUUCUCCAGGCUUCCCGUUUCGGAUCCUCCUACCAUCAACCCCAGGUUUUUCUUCCUUUUCCGCCCUUUUAACCCUUGUCUCUUCUUCUUCUACUUCUCUUUUUUCUCUUCAUUUCUUUUUCCCCUGUAUGCAAAACAUGUGCUUAACUUGUCAGUAUUUCCUUAUUUUCGGUGUUACGAGAGUUUUAUACUUUCUUUUUUUUUUUCUUUUAAGUGCAUUUUCAUUCGUAUUUUUCUCCCUCUUUUUUUUUUUGUCCCUGUUUUUUCGUGUAAUAUAAAAUGUUCUGUUCUUUUUUAUGUACAUAUUUUUUCUUCCUUUUAUUUGGUUUCACCUACAGAAGUUGUGUUGCUAAUGUCGUAGUUGAUCAAAUCAAAUUUGCCAUCUACUUUUUCCCCAACAGAGCCUUUUCCGCAUUGUUUCUAUGAGAUUCCUAGAUAAUAGAAAAAAUAUAAACAAAAAACACACACGCACACACCCAAGUAGGAGGACUUUUGCAUUCGCUCACCGUCUAAUCCUACAUUUUCUUUUAGGUGUUUGGGGGAAUCGGUGCGCAUGUCAGGUUUCAAUCAAGAAUACAUGGGAACCGUAUCUUAGCUCAAUCAUCUUCCUUGCAGUUGAGUUGGAGCCCAGUUUCUCUUUUUUCCUUCCCAUUACGAUACUGUCAUUUUACAAACGCCUUUCAAAUUACUACGAGCCAAAGGCUUUAAUCUUGGCUAACUGGUAUCACUGUCAUAAUGCAGAAAAUGUAGUACUACUGCGCGGAGUAUUCAACCCAUCAAAGCUACUGCCACUGAAAUUCCUCCCACAAUUUCCAGUAUGAUGUUUUCAGUUUGCGCAUAUAACCGUUUUUUUUUCUUUUUAAAUUUCAUUGAAUUCAGUGAUUAGCAGAUUUUUCUGCACACUUACUCAAUUCUUUUCUGCUUUCCUUAGAAUCUUCAAGUGGGGGGAAGACCAAGGUUGGGAUCAAUGGUAUGUUUAACGCAUUGGUCUAUCUUGUCUCUCCAUGACUUCAAUCAUGUACUACUUGUUAUCCCUUGUCCCCUACUGAAUGUUCAGUAAGGAUAAUGUGUCAAAUGGAUAUCAAAUCAACAGGGUUUGGGCGUAUCGGGAGAUUAGUUUUGCGGAUUGCAACUUCCAGGGAUGAUAUUGAGGUGGUUGCAGUAAACGAUCCAUUUAUUGAUGCCAAAUACAUGGUAAGCCGAUAUUCAGCAUAUGUGACAACUCUUUUCAUGUCAUUGGCUUGGAAUACUGGAGUGUAACAACGUUUGAAUAAAAGUCUGAUAUAUGUGCUUUUCUUAGUUCUUCAAAGUUUACAUAGGCACUUAAAAUAUUGGUUAUUCAAAUUCAUUUCAUUAUUUUCAGAACGUGGAGCUAAUUGACUUUAAUGCCUGCUAACCCCUGACCUAAACUCAAAGCAAAACCCACAUUGAAUGUCACCUUUAUAAUGAGAUUGAUCUGAGGAAUUUCAAGAACUCAGACCAGUUAUACAAUUUGAGCCUGCAGACUGCCUAAUGUUCUCAGCAGAAGUGAACUUAGUUUAUGAUUUUUUUUUCCAGCACUUAACUUCUCUUCUCAGCUGACUCCUGCAUGUUGAUUGGGAUCCUGAAAUUCUAGUAAUUGAACCAACAGAAGAUAUGGACCGGUGGCUAUGACUUGGUUUUUACAUUUUUGCAGGCCUAUAUGUUCAAGUAUGAUUCUACUCAUGGAGUCUUCAAGGGAUCACUCAGGGUUUUAGAUGAUACAACGCUGGAAAUAAAUGGGAAGCAGAUUAAAGUUUGCAGCAAAAGGUAUCCACAUGGCGCCAUUCUGGGACUUGUAUCGUGCUUAUACUUGCCAAGUAACAUGAACCGUAGUAUAUUGUUUUUAUACUUUCCAAGUCACUUGAGCUGAAAUGAUGACACUAGUAAAUUACUGUUGUUGCAAAUGCAUAUUCAUGAUUGUUUAUGCACAGGGACCCUGCUGACAUUCCAUGGGGUGAGUAUGGGGCAGACUAUGUUGUUGAAUCUUCUGGUGUCUUCACAACGGUUGGGAAGGCAUCAGCUCACAAGAGGGUAAGUUAAUUAUGUUGUGGAUCAUAAUCACCAUCCAAAGUUGCUCCUCACUCGCAUUGUUCUUUAUCUCCUCGGGUUUUAUGAUUCACAGGGUGGAGCUAAGAAGGUUGUCAUUUCGGCUCCAUCUGCUGAUGCACCUAUGUUUGUGGUGGGAGUAAAUGAGAGUACAUACAAACCAAGCAUGGAUGUUGUUUCCAAUGCAAGCUGUACCACUAACUGCCUUGCCCCACUUGCCAAGGUUUGAUCAUAUUUCACGCAUAGCAAGAACUUGAAGGGAAUUUGACUUCUGGUCCUUGGACUGGUUUUCUUUUUGCUGUCUUUUUUCCUGUUUCCGGGUGACUUGGGGCAUUGGGUGCUUUAGCUUGUCAUAGUGAUCAACUGCCAUUCAAUAGGACUAUCCUGUUUCUGAAAGCGUUGAACUACUUACUACUAUUGAUUUUUUCACUUGCAGGUGGUCCAUGAGGAGUUUGGCAUUUUAGAGGGUUUGAUGACAACUGUCCAUGCAACCACAGGUCUGUCUUAGACAUAAAGCUAUACAGAACAGCUUUCCGCUGAUGUUACUAAAACGUUGGAUUGCUUUUAUGAUUUUCUAUAUACUUGUUCUGUUCAGCCACCCAAAAGACAGUUGAUGGUCCUUCCAUGAAGGAUUGGCGUGGAGGCCGUGGAGCAGGCCAAAAUAUUAUACCUAGUUCUACUGGUGCUGCAAAGGUAUUAUCUGGAUUUAGAUGUGAAGUAUAUCCUAAUUUGUCUGUUUCCUGUAACUUCUGGUCAUUUUACAUUUGAUCUAUACCACUGAAAUUGUAGGCUGUUGGAAAAGUACUUCCAGAGCUUAACGGAAAGCUUACAGGAAUGGCCUUCCGUGUUCCGACACCCAAUGUCUCGGUUGUGGACUUGACCUGUCGACUUGAGAAGAGUGCUUCUUAUGAAGACGUCAAAGCAGCCAUUAAGUAUGCUAACUGAAUUUCCUGCCCUCUCAGCUCUGAGCGUCUCUCUUGCUUGGUCCCAGACGGCCUUUCUUCUUCAUCUUUUUUUUUUAUGGGUACUUUAUUGUUAUAUAAGCAAUUAUGCAGAUUUCUUAAUUGUAUUUCUAACUGCAGGUAUGCAUCAGAGGGUCCCCUGAAAGGCAUUCUUGGAUACACUGACGAAGAUGUUGUUUCCAAUGAUUUUGUUGGCGAUUCAAGGUAGAAUUGUCCUGCUUCUUAAGUGUUGUUAUUACUCAUGGGAACACAUAAUUACCAUUUGAAUUUACACAGUCGUCCUUGGAGGAUUUGGUGAUUCCUGAAUUCAUUAUUUACCAAGAAUUAGGAUUUAAUUUCUCCUCCUCUCUUGUAGUAUUAGCCUUGAGUUCAUUUAUUGCCCAAUUCCACUAAUGCUGGCUUGACUAGUGAACAACCAUCGCUUUAUUCUUUUUUUUCUUUUUUGGUCGAAACGUCAAGGACAACCAUCACUUUAUUCAGUUGAAACUUUUUGUCCAGCUCUUUUAGUUUAUUUAAUUUUUUGUCUUGACAUGGAGUUGUAAGGUGUAAGCUUCAAUUUCCAGUUGUUUUGAGAGUUUUUUGCCUGCCCAAGUUUAGUGUUCUCAGUGUUGGCUUCUUCCUUAUUAGGUCAAGCAUCUUUGAUGCAAAGGCUGGGAUAGGGCUGAGUUCCUCCCUCAUGAAACUCGUAGCAUGGUAUGAUAACGAGUGGGGUUACAGGUAUUGUUAGCCUCUUAUUUCUCUGUGUCUCUAGUGUGGCGCGCAAGAAUUGGCAAAUAACCUUUUUUUUUUUUUUUGGGUAAUGCAAUAUUUCAGCAACCGAGUGCUGGAUCUGAUUGAGCACAUGGCAUUGGUGGCAGCCAGUAACUGAGCAAUUCUGAGGCCUGUGGUGAGCUGCAAAUUUUGAGUUAGUCACACGAGUGUUUCCAGUUAAAAAGGAGUGUUAAGGUUGUGUGAAGUUGCAGUUUGUGUUGGGAAGGCUUUUAGUUAUUUGGUUUUUGCUCUAUAGAUGCAUGCUGCAAAAUGAGUCUGAAAAUAAUUCUUCCAGACACGCCCGCCCUCACCUUGUAACAGAGGAGUACAAACAACACCUUCAUUUUACUCGGAACAAUUUUUAGCUGCUGUUUGUUUGCUGAAAUAGUAGUAGUAGUAGUAAUAAUAAUAAUAAUAUGGAGGAGCGUUUCUUUUUCUGCUCUUAUUUUAUAUAUAUAUAUUGUCUUGUUUGUGCGGAACCGUACAGGACAGUUUUUCUCCUCGACUUUUUUGGGUUACUUUUUCGUCUAGAGACGGCAACACCAGAUGCAGGUCGGAAUAUAUGCCCUCUGUUCCUGCACCUGGGGAAAAAAGCGCAGUUUGGAGGGUUCGAUGUCCUUGGUGAUGGCCAACUGAACUAAGGCUUGCUUGGUAAAGUCGCGAGUAUUCUCAAGUGUCCUCGCGUUUGCAACUAGGCGUGCUACCAUCCCAAUGAUAUUAGUGCUUCACUAAAAAGCAGCUAAGGCCGGCAUGAUUUGCACUUUAAGAGAUGGCUUAAGCAUCAAAUACGAGAUCAACUAUUUGGUUAUAUACGGGAUAACCUCAAAAUCUCCGCUUAAGGUUUUGUCAAAAUUGCAGUUUAUCCCUCAACAUCUAUUUCUUCUCACUUUAAUCCCCUUUUUUAGUUCAACUCAUCAAAUUGACCAUUAAUAUAUUUGAGUUGACAAAACUGCCUAUGUAUAAAGUUUAUUUUUUUUUUAAAAAAGUCCACCGUAAGACUCCUUCAAUGUUCGAAUUACAAAGUUCAACUUUUACCUACAAUAAUUAUCUUUUUGAAUUUUUGGAUUAAAUAAAUUGAAAUACCAAUAUUCUUUUUUUUUUUCCCCAGAAUCAUUAUGCAUACAAUUAUUUUAAGUAGGUAGACUCUAAACUUUAAGAAAAAGGAAGGAAAACGUGUUAUAUUAUAGUCAAGAAUUGUAGAAAAAUGGGUAAACUUUACAACAAAGCGCAUGUUUCUCUUUCUUUAUUGCCAUACAUCACAUAUUUCACUACCCUUUCCGCAAAGUUCAGAAUCUAACCACUUGCAAUAAUUUCAUGCAUGAUGAUUAAUAGCAGAAAAAAUAUUAAAUUGUGUUUGGAUUGCAUUUUCCGUGAUUUUUCAUGAAAAAAUUACUGUAGCGAUUUGAUGUAUGUGAGGGAAAAAGGUAAUAGGGAAAUGUGAUCACGGAAAACGACGUAAUUUUUUGACCGAAACCGGCAAUCCAAACAAGUAAGAGGAAUUAUUUUAUUCACGGGAAGUGUUUCAAUUUAUUUUAUUCAAAAGUUAGAGGAAUUAUUCUAUAAUAAAAGUAAUAUCUUUUAAUUUGAAUAUUUAAAGACUCUUGGGGGUCUUUAUUUAUAAACCAUGUAGAAGGGCAUUUUCGUCAACUCAACUAUUUUAAUGAUCAAUGUGAUGAGUUAAACUAAAAUAAGGGAUGAAAUGAGGAAAAAUAAACAUUACGGACUAAACUACAACUUGGACCAAAUCUUAAAAGGAAGUUUCAUAAUAUAUAUGUGUGCGCGCGCGCGCGCAUUUUAUUUUACCUCCUAUCCAUUUCCAUAUCUUAUGAUCCUAAUGAUACACACACAUGCACACACACAUGUAUGGUAAUAACUAGUCAAAGUAUAAAUUAGGGAUUAUUUCAAAAACCUCCAUUGAAGUUUCUGACGAUUGCAGCCAUCUCCCCUAAUGUUUGAAAAAUUACACUUACCUCCCUUGAUAUUAUGAAAAGACUAUGACAGCCUUCACAAGCUUUACAAAUUUUAAGUGAAAAUGAGAUUAAAAGAGAAAAAUAGAAAUUCUUUUUGGAUAAAACUUCUUUAUCCUAAAACUCUAACGUCAUGCAAUUUAGUAUAUUACACUUCAUUCCCAAUUUUUUAAACUAGAUUUAUUAAUUAAUUUAUAAAAAUCGACCAACCUAUUAGGGAGGCAUUUGUUAAAAUAAGUAUUUUGAAAAAUUACUUAACAAAAAAAAAAAAGGCUCAAAGUAACCAAAAAGAAUGCUUUCAAAACAUGGUUUAUAUUUUCCUACAAAAAAACCAACUUAAAAUUUUCACCUAACUAAUAAUGGUGAUAGUUGACUUUUUAGAAUUUAAUAAAUUUAUUUUACACAUCAUAGAGGGGUAAUAUUGGAUUUUUUUUCCUUACAUCAUCAAUUGCUACCAAGAGAUAUUUUGGUAGGGGAGGUUUCGAUAAAUUUUCAAACUUUAGACGAGGUGGAUGCGAUUGUUAGAAACCUCAAGGGAGAUUUUUGCAAUUAUCGCUAUAAAUUGUAGGUCAUGUUAAUGCAGCUGCGGGGAGAGGAGAGCUUUGCAAAAUGGGAAGCGUGUCAGGGUGCAUGCAUGCUCAUUGCCACUGGUUCUAAAGCGGUAACCGCAACACAAAGCAGCCUUGGCGCAAAUGAGGCGAGAUCAGCCAAUAAUUAAUACCGUUGGUAGAAUCUCCCCAUAAAUUCCACUACUUCAAUACUACUACUACAACUAGUGCCAUUGCUUUGCUUGUAUUUUCCUUCCGACUAUAUAUACCACUGUCUUUGCUAAAAUUACAAUUCAUUAAUCCCUUCAAAAAAAAGAAAAGAAGAUCAUAAUUACUUGACUACUAAACUGGAAUCAGGCCUUCAUCAUCUCCGCACUGCAGUUCAAUAAUAAUAAUUUUUUUAAAAAAAAAAAAAAAAAAAAAACUGAAAGCCAAUAGGCAGGCUACUCAAAACAUCUGUGGAUUCAGCUGCUGCUAGUGUGUGUUACACAGCACUCACUGGCUCGCAAGCAAGAGCCCAACCAACAACAUCAAUAACAAUUGCUUUCCAAGAUCAUAAAACCACUGUAGCAUAUCAAUUUCCACUCAACCUGCAGCACCACAUCACAGUUUUUCCAGUAUCUUGUUUUAUACACCAAAAAAAGAAAAAAAAAAACCUCUCUUCCUUUUGAUUUUUCCAAACAACAUACCAGUAAUCGCGGUUCUCAAAUCCACCAUACCACUCAUUUCUAUUAGCAUCAAUGCUUCUGUGUCCAAUCACUCAACUGACCAUUUUGGAUUAUGCCAUUUUCAAUCAAGUAUUCCACAAAUUCAUCAAUCAGAUAAGGCCAAGCACCAUCAACAUCAUAGUUUGAGAGUUGGGGGUCCACAGUCUGCAUUCACCACCACCAAUAACAACAACAACAACAACAUCAGUCUUGCAAAGGCUUAAUACCAGAGGCAUCAGAAUUAGAAAGUGACACAAUGGAAGAAAAUUUUCAAGCACACUACCCAAACUACUGCUUGAGAUGCAACCCGAACAAACAGGGAUUGCUUUCCUUCUUUCAUUAAACAAAAACUGAUCCCAGUUCCCGGUGUGUGAUGCUCUUAUACCCUAUUAGACACUUUUUAUCCUUCUGCUACGACAAAUUGUUAAAGAGAUUGUAUAAAUUCCAGACAACCAACUCGUGGGACAUAAAUUACCUUUGCAAACUCGAGGAGUUGAGACCAGGUGUCCCUCGAUAUAGCUUUAUUAUGUCGUGCCUGAAAAAGACGAGGCCACCGGGCAGGGGUGUGUGGAGGAAGUAGGAUUAGUAAUCGUACGAGAAAUAAUGCAAAAAGCAGAUGAAUAAAUGUACCCUAACAACUAUGCAUCAAUAGGUUUGACGUGACAUGCAAUUCUACGACGACAAUUUACCAGCAUCAGACGAGAAUUGAGAGAGAGAAAAAGAUGUAACGAAUAUAAGCUUUCCUUCAUCUGAAGGGUUUCCACGUUCUAAAUUUUGCACAACCAGCACCCAUUUAGCUAGCCAAAAUUGUGGUCUGACAACUAAGAACCGAGUUCCAUCUUAGCACCACUAAAUUGUUGGAUCUGGUUUUGAAUACAAUCUCAAAUUUCAGAGACACCAUGGUUGUUUACAUAAAAAUCAAUAUUUAAAAAAUAAUAAUAAUACAGCAGAGAAGGACAGACAGAUGCAGAAAGACAAUCUCAAACUUCACAAUAUGGUCACUACAAAUAUUUGAUGGAAAUCUUAUCCAUCGGAUUCUGUAAAGCAUAGAAGCAGAAACAUUUAAGUAACGCUACUCAUUAUGUAAGAAGUUCAUAACAAUAUUGUUUAAUACAAUUAAAAAUGGCAAAAAAGGGUUUCAGAACUGAAAACUAAUGUCCCAAAGUAAGAUCAAUAGAUAGUAUGAACACUGACAGCAAAAGGUAAAAUCACAUGUAGUAGUCUAGACAAAUCCAUUACUAACACAUUGGUCCUAUAGUACAACUGCAAAUCGGGAUGAAAUUGGCCUUGUUCCCACAUGGAUUAAACUAUAUGAUAAAGAACCAGACACAUAAAACUGCUGGCCUUUAUAUUGAUUUCCAAAAGCAUACCCAAUCGAAAGGGUAACAACGCUUUCAGUGCAAGAAAGUUGCGGCAAGCGUCAACCAAUUAUUGCACUAAGUACAAAACCCUAACACGUAGACUGAUAUGUGCAACUACAGAAGUAAAAAGGGAAUAUUGAGAUAUCUGCUUAUGCUACCUGCAAGAACUGGCACCAAUGAUCAACCAAUGGCCAAUGCUUCUCAGCAAAAAGCAGCUGCCACAUCCCUAUUGCAGUAUCUAAUGCCAAAGACUUCUGGCCCUGAAAUUGAGAAAUUUCAUCAGCAGUGUAGUAGUAGGUGUAAAGCCACCUCUCUGUUUCCAACAGUGUGUGAAACAGCAUUCAGGUAAUUAAGGUCAGCAUGAAAACCCAGAUUAUUUUUACUUGCAGUUUGCAUGCUGCAUUUUAUUUCACCUUUACAGAGAUAAUCCAGGUUUUGGAAGGCUUAUUCAUGUUAGCAUACACUUCAGCGCAGUAAAUCAAUUAAGAAUCAGACCAUGGAGCUAUAUCUAGAAAAUCACUCAGCAUGAAAGAAAAAAAUUUUCAAGCAACCAAAACGAAUUGAUACCUUCUCCUUUGCCCAUCCGAAAGCAAAGUUAUAGAUCUCUCGAAACUUUUCUGUAAAAAUGAAAUUAAGCAAUUUAAUUGAGAGCUAGUAAAACAUCCAAAGCAAAACCAAAAUAGGUCUAGGUUGAGAUAGGCCCACAAGUCUAAUAGACAUGGUCUAAAGUUAACAUUUCCUUGUCAAAAAAUGGGGAGUUCAACAUUCACACUUACGAUCAUCUUUAAGCUCAGAACGCAUAAAUGGUAUUUUUUCCCUCAAUUUCUCUAUUGAAUCCACCCUGGCAUUGAAAAUGCAGAUUUGACUGAGAUUCAGGUCAAAGACUUCAAGCUUUUAUUGACAAAAACAGCAAACACAAACAAGAGUCUUGAUAGAUUUGAUUCAAACACACCCUAGAGACUGCAAUCCACCAAUGAACUCCUGCUUUGAAAAUUCACACAUAGUAGCAGCCUUCAUAUGCCAUGAAAGUACCAACUGCAUAACAACAACUGCUAUGUCAACCAAGACUAAACAAUGUGCCAUAAAUAUAAUUUUGAUUGUGAAUAACACAGAGCUACAUCUUUUUAUUCUAUUUUACAAAGAGCUAACUCACUUUACAGAAGAAUGGGAAAUCUAGAUAAGCUUAACAGCAAAAACGUUUAAGCAAAUUUCUUUUCACUAAUGAUCACCCAACCACAAGAAGCUGAGUUUGGAACUUUUACAUCACCAUUUUUUUAAAAGCAAUAGUCAAUAUGCAAUCCGUUUUAGCAUUUUAAAGGCUACCAAAAAACAACAAAGAUUGUUGAGCACCAAAUAUGCAGAUGAGAGCAGGGACCAACAAUCAAAGUACUUCCAUAACCACAGGUACAUACCAUGACAAUAUCCUGAUGAUCGACCUGCGAUAAGAAACUUUUGUUGUUACAAAUCAAGAAAAAACGUUUGUCCAAUAAUUUAUUGAACCAUGGUAGAACAUAUAGAAGUAAGUGUCCCAAAAGUUAAGAAGCAAAAACUAUUGAAAACACCUGCAGAAAAUUCCCAUUAGAAAUUGGCUGUACUACAUAUACACAAAAUCCAAACCUCGAUCAGGGUUAUAGUUACCAGAAUGUCACUGCACAAAAGAGUGAUUCCAUCAGCCAUAAUCAUAUCCGCAUAAGCAUCUGCAAAAUAUGACAUCUUCACAAGAUUCAGGAUAAAAGGCAAUAAUAUGGCAUGAAUAGCCGCUAGCAUAAUUUGAUAAUCCAAAAGUAAGGUGUCAUUGUGGCUGCAAGUAUGUAGUGGCCGAAGCAAUCAACUAACAAAACAAGGGGGGAAAACUUUCAGCAUAUAAAUCCCAUAAGAACAGAAUAGAUGUCUCCACUUUACUUUCCAACAUUAUGCUAAGCACACAAUCACAAGCAAACUGCCUUUGAUAAUUAAAAAAAAAGGAAAAAAAGUCAAGGAGGAUUCUGUCAUUUUCUUUAAUGGUUUGCCAAAGAUAUUUGUAGGUCUCUACCAUCCUUAACAAUGAAUCAGGCUUGAGAAGUAAUCUAAGAAGCAGAUAGUUGCAAAGCGUGAAAAGUCCUAAGAAAUUGUCUGCAGAAACGUUCAAAAUUCAGCACAAAAACUUCCCCAACCGGAAGCUUAACACAAGAAAGGAGGCAACAACUCAGACACUCAGCCUAUGAAUAUUCUAAUUAACUUACUAUUGAUAUUAAAUAUCCAAGUGCAAGCAUGCUACUAUUGUUUGAGCAAACAAAACCAAAAUCACCCAGUUGAGGAAGCACUGAAAAUAUACAUAUGCCCAAUUGAACACAUUGCACAAACCAUUUAAUCUGAACAAUUGCAUCAUUAAGAUAGUUAUUUUUUUUUGGUCCCCUUAUCAAACUUUAAUUCUCCGACACAAACUAAACCUCGCUCAUCUAAAAUCAAUUCAUCCAGUUAUGUGUCAGAAAAAGAGAACCAAAGCAGGAGCAAAACAGCAAAAUUUAGGAUUUGAAAGCAAUGGAAGGAAUAGUAUUAAAACAAAAGGAUGGUAUCUUUACACUACCUUUAUAUCUGUUGUAAAGAUCUUCCAAGCGCCUAGCAUCAGUAUAUGAUUUUGGUUGGGGUUGACUGUAGAAUGCGUCGAAGGCUCCUUCAAGAUGCCAAUCACUAGCCUUCAAAGCCUGAUAUGCAGCCUUUUCACUUUGAUUGAAACCAAAAGCAAAAAAAAAACGAAGAAGAUAAUAAAGGUCAACAUACUGGAAAAAGGGAAUAUUGAUAAGACUUCAAUAGAAAAGAUUCAGAUCGUGAAUUGGCUCAAAAGCAAUCUACAUGCGGACUGUUGAGUAACAAAUCUCAUAUAAAGAUGAAGAAGAUGACAAAACUCGAAACAAACGGCAUAUUGCAAAAGGAGGGUUUUUUUUUUUUUGGGAAUCAUAAGAAUGUGGAGAUUUGUAAAUUCUUAGCAUGAAACCACAUCUGCAGAUGGCUUAGCAGCGGUGACAAAAGUCUAGAUACAUCUUGAAGAAAGCAUUAGUUUACAAGCAUUGGAAAGCUAUAAAGCUGGACUAAAAUCAUACUAGUAGCUAUUACCAUAACAUAGAUGCAUCAGUGUAAAAGGGGUGCCGAAAAUAAUAAAUGAAAAGAAUGGUUGCGGGAAGGAUCAUAGGUGGAUUUAAACUCAAGCGGUAAACAUAAUGUGGGCUAGUAGCACAGCAAUAGAAAGAGAUAAAUAACAUUCGUAUUAGAAAAAAAGGAAAAACACCUAGUGCCAGUAAUGGUCAUAAACUGGUGAACUUUGUCCCGGUGGCCUCUGCCCAACUUGUUCUGGUAAAAUGCAAAUAUGAAUGUCAUCAACCAAUACGAUUGAUCUGAUAAAUAAAUAAAUAAAUAAAUAAUCAACACUCGCCCGCCAAAAUUACUACUACUACUUUGCGACGCGACGCAGAGAGAGAAAGAGAGAGAGAGAGAGAGAUUUGAGGCCAAAGAGAGUGACGAACUCAUGGAUUUGAUGAUUAGCAGAGAAUCAUAGUAAUCCAGCUUGAUAUAUAAAGAUUAAAACGUCAGUCCACAACAAAAAUCAAUACUAACGGAAAAAAGAAAAGGAGCGGAGAAAGAAAAUUAGGAAAAGAAGCAGAAAGUUUGUAACUUUAAAGAAAAGGGAUGUGCUUAACGGGGGCGGGGAAGAGAGCAAAGAUUAUAAAGGAAACUGACCAUGCUUGAGUAGAGUGGAUGAGGGAGAGAGCAGAGAAUUAUAUGAAGGGUGAUAUGAGGAAUAAAGUCUAGGGUUAGCUCCCAACUGGUGACGACUGUUACCCUCUCUCUCUGCGUAUUACUUGCAAAUUGCUACUCUUGCCUUGUCCAGUUGUCUGUGUAUCGCACCAUACACGCACGCGCGCGCGCACACACACACACACAGAGGCGGCAGCGGCAGCAGCAGCGUUUGCAAAUUGCCUUUCUUCUUCGAUUUCUGUGUGUCUUCUCUGCUGUGUGUGUGGCUGUCUUUGUGGUGUGUGGGAGAAAGAGUCAGCCACCAGAAGAACCGAGAGAGAGAGAGAGAGAGAUGGCGCAUUGAAGCACCCACGCUUUUAUCAUUUAUGCCCUCGCGUUUCUUCCUUUACAUUUUUUUAGCUUCCCUCAUUAUUUGUAGUAUUAUAUAGUAUUAUUCCUUGCAUGUAUUUUUUUUUUUUUUUUUUUUUUUUUUCAAAAAAAAAAGAAAAAGAGGACCAAUAGUAGUAGUGUAAGUGUAGCCCACUUGUCCUAUUUCUCUCUGUCUCUCUUUUUUUUUUUGAAACAAAAGAAAAAAAAUUCAUCCAAUAGCUAGCCUAAAUUCAUGGAAUCAGAAUUCGAAGAUUAAAGGGCACGUUGAGUAAGAGUAAGAGUGAAAGUGUUAUAGAUUGGGCGGUGUAACAUUAACAGUUAUAUAGAUGGUCGUAUGUAGUAAAACAAGAGAUGAGAUUUGAUUUGUGAAUAGAAUAGAGAUAAAGAGUGCAGUAGUGGUUGCUUAGAUUGCUAAUAAUCAUGAUCAUUCAAAUGAUCUCAACCCCUUAUGCAUACGUAGUACACAUUUUUCAAGCACUAGUAGUGGGAAUCCCUUAUGCAUAUAUAGUAGAAUAUUCAUUCAUCCCCAUUUUUUGCGUUAGCAGCAGUCGAGAAAAAUGUUUACUUUUUCACGGAAAGAAGGCUGAAGAGCGUAGCAUAUGGAUGAUGACGAUGAAACCACUGAGCUAGGUUCAGUGGCCAUCAAGGUGGGUCUUAAGACCCUACUUGUUGAGUUGCAGGUGGGAGUUCAAAUUUUAUCUGCAAUAAAAAAAAAAAUUUAAGAGUUGUGCCAAAGCACUCUCUUGAUUUAAUAAGUUCUGUGUAUCUGCCAAAGCACAAAGUCUCUUUAGACUCUCCCUCCCUAUGGUUUAGGAUAGAUAAGUUAUACAAUAGUUGUCGUUUCCGGAAAAAAAAAAUAUGGGUGAUGAUGAUGAUGAUGCAUAGAAAAAGCCUAAUCAGUGGGGCAGUUGGGUUUUACGUCUUUGAUGAUGUUGAUGCACAGAAAAAAAGCCUUAAAUUAGAGGCCCCGGAGGAGGAGAGUAGACCCCACGACACUUUUAAUGAUCUUUUUUUUUUUUUUUCAAAAAAAUAUGCUAAUGAAAAUACCUAAUCCACCACCAUUAUCAUUAUCAUUAUCAUAUUCAUGUGCCGUGUAGGGGUGGUGUGUGAUGGAUUUGUCAGUAUUCGUUUUUUGUUUUCUUAAAAUGGCAUCACAAAAAAAUGAAACACGCAUCAAUACAUCAUAUUAGUAAGUUGUUUUGGCGAGGAAAUGAAAUGAAAUUCAAAAGAAAACAUGAAUGGAUGAUCAUAUACGACAAUGAGUAGUAGUUUUGAGUUUCUAAUUGAUGAUCAUCCAUCAACAUGAUUGAACUUACCAUUAGUAAUUAAUUAAGAGGAGGUUAUUACAGCACCAACCUACUUUCUUUCUUUUUUUUUGGCUUUUGCCAAAUUUCUUCUGAUUUGAGUGACAUGCACAUUGAUAUUUCCUUUUUCUUUAAGCGCUGACAAAUGUAAAAAGUGCAAACUCUAGUGUAAUGCAAUAAGAGGAGUAUUAUUAUUAUUAUUAUUAUGACUGCAAUAAGAGAAUACUUCCAUAAGACAAUCUAAUAUCCUUACAACAUAGUAUUUCCAUAAGACAAUCUAACCCAUUACAGGCGGUUUUCGUCAUUAUCAACUACGCGUAACUUUCUUUAUACAUCGUGUAACUUUUUUUGCACAUCGCGUAACUUUAGAGCAAAUUUUUGUGGGGUCCACACAUGACGUGGAAAUCGAGUUAUAACUUGUAAUCUCAGCCGCACAAAAUUUUGAGGCCAAAUCCUGGCCAUUAACCGCUCAGGGACGGUUGCAACCGUCCCUGCCCCAUUUCCUAUGGAAAUACUACUUACAAAUCAGUAUAGUAUACAAAAGUCAAGAGCAGUUGCAGCAGCAGCAGUUGCAGUAAAGAAUGAAUUAUAUAUACUACUAGUAUAUAUCUUUUGGAAAAAAAAAAAUACUAACAUAUGACCUUAAAAAAACAUAAAUAAUGGAGCAGUGCUAACAUAUGACACCUUCCAUGCCCAUGGCAGUGCAACUUGACGUGGCAGGCCAAAGAUUCGGUAAUGAACAUGACUGACUGACUGCUGUAGACUGCAGGGCAGAGUAUCCAGGCCCAGCACCAGCAGCGUCGGCAUCGGCAUCGGCGUCAGCGUCAGCAUCAGCAUCAGCAUCAGCGGCGGUGGAGGGAAUAUAUAUAUAUACACACACACUUGUAAAGUUUCAAGAGAAAGGGGGUAAAGUCGAAGUUGUAGAGGUUAAAAUAACUCCGACUCCUAUUCCUAUUCCUGAUUCCUGCUGGGAAAGUAGUUAUCUUGUUAAACGACCCCCCACAGAGAAAGAGAGACAGAGAGUUGGUUCCGACCGCAAGAAAAAGGGGCAAAUUAUAGGGUGGUGAUUAAUAGGCUGGAAAAUAUCUUUUACUAUUUGAUAGUAGUGGCAGUAGAAUCUCAAGAAGAAGAAUAUGAAGAGCCCUAGCCCCGCUGUCUUGACCGGCAGAGAUGCCCAUGGCGGAGGAUCGGAUUCCUUGGAAUCUUCAAGGAGAGAAUUGCUCUCUCCUCCAUUUGAACCCACCACCUCCACCCACCAUAACUCCUCCUCCUCCUGGAAACUCAAUAUUGACGAGUUCCGAUUACCUCAACAACCUCAUCAUCAUCGCUCCUUCGGUUUCCCGCGCCUCUGCCCCCAAAGUCAGUAUUACUACUUCUCCCGCCACUUUACAAAUUUAUAUAACUGCCCCCUUUCACUCUCCUCUUUUACUUUUCAUUAUCAUUUGUCAGUUGUAAUACUUUCGAUUACGGCUGUAUACACACACAGACACACACACAUAUAUAUGUAACAACCCCCCUUCCCCCCCUUUUGAGUCUUCCUUUUGCAUUUCCAUGCAUGCAAAGCUCAAUCUCUCCAACCUCUUCCUCCUGCUGCGACCCCGACCCCAUCAUUUAUCAUUUUCUUCACUACUCCUCUUACCAUUUCAUCUUUUCAAUCCCUUCCCUUCUUCAUUAUUGUUGCUGUUAUUAUUAUUAUUACUACUGCUGCUGCAACUACAGUAGAAUUUUAUUAGCACUACCACUACUACUUAAUCGGCGGGGUUGAGUGGGGAGUUUUGGGAAACUAGAAUACGGGAUCAUCGUGGUUGGGCGGCGGCGGCGGCGGGUCGCUGGCUCAGCCCGAUCGAUUACCUCACUAAACUUUACUUCCCCUCUCGGAUUGGAAGGGUCCCGGAUACUUCAUGUAAUGCUUCGAAUAUGCCCUCUGCCCCCACGAUUAGAUCUACUAACACUGCAGUUUAUUUACAGUGCACUUUUUGUGAAGGAAUUAGUAGUAAAAGCACGUCGCCUGUUGACAACAGAACAUCUGUUUGCCUUGACUUUCUGAAAGACUACUACUAGUAUUUAAUUAUUUAUGCUGUGCUGCACCUUCCCUCUUUCAUUUCAAAUCAUUAUGGACUAUCCAUUUUCAGUCCAACGCCGCACUAACGCUUAUUAGUAGUACGUGUUGUAUUACUUUUCUGGAUACUAUUGCUUUCUUUAUUUGUUCAUCCACAAGAGCCCCAAGGCUUCUCUCAAAUUAGUCUCCAAAAUUGUGAUCAUGAUCAAGAGCUCUACCUUUUUCUUGUUAAAAAAAAAUUUAUGCAAUCUUGUGUAUUUAGGAUGGAAACUACUACUAGUUUGAUCAGCACCACAUGAAACGUCCAAAACCCCACUUCGAUUCUUUCCUUUAUCCUGUUUGUCUUCACGGACAUUUUUUGUAUUUUCAUUUUCUGGAAUGGGUUGUUAUGCUGGUCUUAUUGGUUUUUAUCUGCAAUCCGCCCUUCUCCUCCUCCAUUAAUUCAAGAAAGAGGACUAGAGGACUGAUACUAGUUGACAGUGUAGCUUCUCUAGUCCCCUCGACAAGUUAAAACUUUGCUACUACAGGCCCCACUUAACGACCGACAAUACAACCCCAUCAGGUUUCAUGAGGUUUGCUGCCUUUUUUUUUCACUAAAUACUAGUGCAAUGAUUUUCUUAGGAAGGUUUUUAUCCAUCAAAAUGAUCAUGCAAGAUCACAACUAUGGUAUCUGUCAUCGACUCCUAGCAUAAUUUGUAUUCUAACUGUAACUUUUUUUUUUGGUAAAUUACUCUAACUGUAACUGAUAUCUUAUUAUCUUGCUUUUCCUUCUACAUUCAUUUUCUAGGGAAAAAAGGCAAAAUUGCAGAGUAUUACAAGAAGCAGGAAAGGCUCCUCGAAGGGUUCAAUGAGAUGGAGACCAUUAAUGAAUCAGGCUGCUUGCACGGAAGUCUGACGGAGGUUUGUCUUUGGCUGCUGCAUCUACUCACUGUUGCUCUUGUAAUCACACCUAAAAAAAAAAAGUUACUUUCUGAUGAUGAAAAUGAGGAUCAUUUUAGACCAAGCUUUUAUGGUGUCCUGUCCAAAAGAGCUUGUGUUUUAGCCCACCCCCUAGGGGCGGAUGAUACUGUCGCACAGCAAAAUGCCAGUUUAUCUGGUUUUGUUCCGGUAUUUUAUGUGUCCUUUUAAUGUGACUGUUAGACCAACUGCCUGGUUAACUCUGACUUCUGGAACAAUUAGCUUAAAAAAUUGCUUGUGACGAUCGCUGGUCUUUGUUUAUUUCUUUUUUCUUUUGGGCUCCUUUUUCUGUCUUACAAUUACUGCUAUUGUUAUGGUCAUCUUAGUGACUUGUAUGACUUCAGUAUGUACAGUUAUAUAGAGAGGCCAGGGGCCAAGAAAUGAGAUUUGUUUGUGACAACAAAGAUAUCCUUUCUUUUACUGAAUCACCAAAACUUCUGUCAGGAUGAACUAAAGCAGCUUGCUAGGAGUGAAAGGAUGGCAAUUCAUGUUUCGAAUAUAGCUAACAUGGUCCUUUUUAUAGCAAAAGUUUAUGCUUCUGUUGAGAGCAGAUCUUUGGCUGUAAUUGCAUCAACUCUGGAUUCCUUCCUGGAUCUUUUAUCUGGAUGCAUUCUCUGGUUCACUUCUAAUGCCAUGAAAAACCCAAACCACUACCACUAUCCAAUUGGGAAGAAAAGGAUGCAACCAGUGGUAAGUCGCACAGUUCAGUGUGCUUUGAACGAUAGGAUUCCUUUUAAUGUUUUUCUUUUUCUGGAAAAAUUUGCUCUUGUGAUAUCUGUAUAAAAACUUUUUUUUUUUCUGGUAUGUUGUAUGUACAAGAUGCUAUUUCUUGCUGACGUCUUUGUGCCUCAACCUCGUACUUAGAGUCAUUCUGCUCUCUUGUAUUGUCAUGUGAAAUUCAUAUAUGUAUGUGGUAGGAAGAUAGAACCUUUUUGAUGUUCUACACCGGGUUGAAAGAGGAUUGCAAAGAUUGACAUUGAUUGUGACAAAAGUUAGUUGAUGAAUAAUCCUGAGAUUCUGUGUUUUGUACGAGAAGACAAAAUGAGCUGAUGCACGUCUCUUGCGUCAAAGUCAAGUGCCAUCUUAUAUCGAUUGUGAUGCCUUCGAAUGAUUUUUCUUUUUCAACGAGCUACUUUACAUGUCAUUUCUUUUUACUAACAAACUGCAUUGCUUUCAGGGCAUUAUAGUCUUCGCAUCUGUCAUGGCAACUUUAGGACUGCAAGUAUUGCUGGAGUCUGUUAGGCAGCUGAUUUCCAAGGUAUCCAUGUUGCAUAAUAGCUUCAUGCAUGCAUAUGCAUGCUGCUGCUGUCAUUCAAUAAAUCAUGUUAGAACUUUGAAAGAGUGAAUACUUGCUUGUAAAGCUUCAAUUCUACUACCGAUUAUAUGUAUAUUGAUGGUUCUUUAAUUCGCUGCCCCCUCUCUAUGGUGCAGUCAAGUCCUGAAGUUGAUCAUGAGAAGGAAAAGUGGAUGAUUGGAAUAAUGGUCUCUGUGACUCUGGUGAAGUUUCUGCUGAUGGUCUACUGCCGAAGAUUCGAAAAUGAAAUAGUUAGAGCCUAUGCUCAAGAUCAUUUUUUUGAUGUGAUCACCAACUCGGUGGGUUUAGUAACAGCUGUGUUAGCAAUACGAUUCUAUUGGUGGAUUGAUCCUACUGGCGCCAUAUUGGUGAGUGAUUGGAUUUGGUUAAAAUACAUAUGUGUACUUUUGCAAUAAUGAAAUGAUGAAACGGGAGGAAUGAUGCAGAUAGCUGUGUACACAAUCAGCACUUGGUCAAGGACUGUGGUGGAGAACGUGUGGUCACUGAUCGGAAGAACGGCUCCGCCGGACUUUCUGGCAAAAAUAACGUAUCUGAUAUGGAACCACCACCAAGAGAUACAGCACAUCGACACCGUGAGAGCCUACGCUCUGGGAUCGCAUUACUUCGUGGAGGUUGACAUCGUGUUGCCUGAAGACAUGCUGUUGAGCCAAGCCCAUAACAUCGGGGAAACCUUGCAAGAAAAGCUGGAGCAACUCCCCCAAGUGGAGAGAGCCUUUGUUCACAUAGACUUCGAAUUCACUCAUACACCGGAACACAAGAACAAGGUCUAAAUCUCCUCACCAUCCAAACACACUUUUCUCUCUCUCUCUCUCUCUCUCUCUAUCUUUUUUUUUUGAAAAUAAUAAUAAUAAUAAAUAAAAGUUGAUGGAAUACUUUUAUCUCUCUCUUUUUUUUCCUUUAUGAAUGGUCGUAUGGUUUGUAAUAAUCACAUUCUUAAGCAGGUUUGGGUAAGGUAUAAUUGUCGGAAUUGUUGUUGUUUUGUUUCCCGAAAAAAAAAUUGAUAUACAUUUACAGGCAUAAUUAUUUCACAUAUUAAAUUGAUGUACAUGAAUAAAAUUCUCAUGUAUAGCAAAAGUAAUGUUAGUGUUCAUUAGAUUAUUGUAUAAUAUCCAACAAUCGCACUAAAAACCUCAAUUGUACUUGUCCGUAGGAACCGUACCGAGCUAAUUUUUUUUGGGGGUCGAAACAAUAGUUAUAUUGAUGAUGUAAAAAUAUAUAUAUGGUACUUGGAUAUUAACCAAUCCAUUGUUUUAGUAAUAAUAUCAAUGAGUGGGUUUGAAUAGCAAUAUAUUUUUUAAAAUAUUAUUUUGCUUGCUUUCAUCAUAAUUACAAUUCUCAAUCCCCUUUUUAUCAUAAAAAGUGGUUGAAUAAUUAUUCUAAAUAAUAUUUAAAAUAAACUCCCAUCCAAAUGCUCAGGUCAUAUACUAACUACUAUAAGAGUCCGACAGAAGUACUAAUAAACAUUAUUUGAUAUGUAGUCUUUGAGUUGGCGCCCACCAUCAACCUUUAAGACUUGGUUAUAAUGUGGAUUUGUUUCAAAAAAUUCAGGCGGGUGCGUAGUGCACCCGUUUGAUCCGAUGAUGGUUCAGUUCCCUCCGAGUUAUUCGUGGACCUCCUUAGAUCCACCCCCUCCCCUAAUGUAGGAUAGAUUAGGAUAUACUACAGUUGUCAUCUUCGAAAAAAAACAAAACAUGGCUCGAAGGGGUGGAUUUCAAUUGGUAUUUAGGGAUAAUUUCAGAAACCUCCCUUGAGAUUUCUAACAAUUUCACUCAGCUCCCCCCAAUUUUAGAAAAUUACGCUGAUCUCCCUUAUUUUUACUAUUUAAGUAUAAUUCUACUUAAGUAUCCCAAAAUGUUACUUAAGUAUCCCAAAAUACCCUUAUGCAAUAUCAUAACAUCAAAAGAAAGUGAAAAAAAGGUUUAGUGAUCAAUUUAACUAAAAAAAAAGUAACAAACACUUUUAUCCAAAUUUGCUAUGCUUCCACGAUAAUUGUAAAUCCAAAAUCUCAUCAACCGUUCAAGCAAACUCCAAUUUAAUUCCCAAAUUCUAUCAAUUUUGGUAUUACUAAAAUCCCAAAUUUUAUCAAAAUCGCAUUUCAACUUAACUCCCAAAUUCUAUCAAUUUCGGCAUCAUUAAAAUCCCAAACACUACCCGAAUCACUUUACAAAUAGGCCAUAACCACCACCACCAACUAAAAUACUCUCAAAAGCUUCCCGCCUCAAAUUAACACUAUAUUUUGUCUAUUAACUAAUCUCACAUCUCAAAUUAUUAACCCAACACCUAUCUCAUAUCACCUUAUUUGAACAGAAGACCUGGCCAACCACUAUUGAUGUUUAUGCCAAGAACAACCCCAUACUCUAAUGGCGUUAUGAACAGAGAAACUAAUUUUUAUGACAAACCACCACCAAUACUUGUAAAUCAAACAAAAAUGAAAAUAAAUAAAGAUAUUAGAUUCUAGUGUCUAAUAGACAUAAUAGCAUAACCCAGAGUCAUCCCUUCUUCUCUUCCAAUCAUAGCCCAUUAAUUUCAUUUUUUUCCUCUCUAUCACAACCAUUUUCAUCAUCUCCAUCUAAUUUGACCAUGAAAUUUUCAUUUGCUUCAUCAAUUUGUAAUUUUGAAAAUUUUAAUUCUUUAAUAUAUGUAAAUUAUAAUACGAGAAGAAAUAAACAAGGGCCUGAUAGUUAAGUACUACGGAAAGAAAGAAAUAGACACUUAUGGUAGAUUUGCAUGGUGGUGUAAUUGAUGAGCGAAAGAGACUGUGCAGUUAUAAGUAAGAAGGAGAGAAUCAUAAGAGGUAGAAAAAAAUAGAGGGAAAGUGAAAAGAAACUGUUGUUAAUUAAAAUAGGGUUGAAAAUGACGACGAGUUGUUGAGGUUUUUAUAUUUUUCUUUUACUUUUGGUUUGGUUUUUGUAUUUCACAUAUGUGGUAAAUUAUCUAUUAAGUAGAGGGUAUUGUAGUCAUUUUAUUGACCGGAGAGAAGUUAGUGUAAUUUAUUAGCCGGCAGGAUUUGGCCAUUUGGUGGGCCGUACAAAAAAAUCCAGUGCGAGGAGGGGAGGCAUUUUGGUAAUUUGAGCGGUACAAGACAUGAAUUAGGGUUUUCUGAGUCCGCCUCCUUUUUUUUUUUUUCUUCAAAUUUGUGUAUAAUAGGUUGGUGGAGUAGUACUAUAUAUAUAUAUAUAUGUAUGUACAGCCAUUACCGAAACUCAGAGUCGUCGUCCUCCGGUCCCUGGACUUGGAUGAGAGCAACGUCCGGCCGUCGCCGGAAGCGGCUCCAGAGAGAAACACGCACUAACAUUAGCAAAAGAGUAAAACAAUACGUGAGAUCCAAAUGUUUUCUGUUUUUCUUUAUUAAUAUUUUAGUCCGCACACACACACACACACACAUUUGGGACCUGUGAUGUAUCGGUAAAAUUGUCCGUACCAUCUGAUUGAGGAUCUCACUUAGAUCCUUUCUCUGAUGAUUCUUAAAGCCUAUAUUCUGAGGUCUCCAGUGAGUCUCCCAAAAUUGCCGCAGACCUGUGCUCUCUUGGGAGAGUUUUUCUAUUUUUCUUUUUUUUUGGGGGGUGGGGUAGCUGUUGAGACUUGAAGGAGAAGAAGAGGGGGCAGUGAUGCAGGAAAUACCAUCAAACUCUGAAAAGCUUCUUCAGAGGGCUUUGUUGAUGAUGUUACCAAUCAAAUGUUCUGAGCCUCCUCCCUCACAUCCCUACACGUUCUGAUCGAUCCUAAGCAAAAUUACGAAAUACUACCGCUGCUAUUAUGCAAUUUUUUUUUUUUUGAUGCAAUUAUGCAAUUCUUAAGCAGCAGUAGAUUUCACCAUUUUUCCUUUCUUAUUUUUAUCAUUAUUGUCGCUCUCUUUGGACUAAUGGGGGUCGAUUAGAUUAGUCAUUAGAGUGCCAUUCUUCGACCCCCACCAAACAGAAACGGAAGUUGCCACAAUUGUAAAUUCUAAUACUAGUGUAUUAGUGAUGAAGGAAAAUUUACUAUAGGUUGGUCUGGGUCUCUUGGGAGGCGACAAAUUAGAGUCUCUGAUGCACUCAUUUGUUGACGAUAGUGUUUUCAGCGCUGUACGUUGCCCUCAACAAAAGAAAAAAAAAAAAGGGGCAGAGAUGCUGGCACAUUCCCCGUCCAACCCUUCCCUUUAAUUAUACUAGGGAUGUAAUCGAGUCAAGUUUGAGUAGUGCUAUACUCGAGCUCGACUCGACUCAUAUAUCUCUAGGCUCGAACUCGAGUCAAAAAAAUUGAUACUCGAAACUUGACUCGAUGUACUCGCUCUAAGCUCGAAACUCGACUCGAUAAAGCUCGACCUUUAGUGAACCCUUAUCAAGCCGAGUCUAAUCAAGUUUUUUGACUCGACUCGACCAAAAAAUUGAGGCAUUUUUUAGACAUUUUUUCUUUUUAGGUAUUUUCAUAAUUAUGUUAUUACUUUUUUACCCUUAUAAAAUUUUAUUAUAAAGAAGAGUAUAUUGUAAAUUUCGUAUAACCUAUACCCAUAAUAGUCAUUUUAUAAUUAUAAUACAUAUAUAUUAUUUAAAUUAUAAAUGUAUUAUUUAAAUAGCCCGGCUCGACAAGCUACUCGACAAGCCUCGAGCCAAAAAUUUGAGACUCAAAACUCGACUCGAACGCCAAUCGAGCUACUCGAAACUCGGCUCGAACUCGGUCAACCCGAGUUCGAGCCAAGCCGUUGACCGAGCUACUCGCGAGUAGCUCGGCUCGCGUACAUCCCUAAAUAUAUAUCCAUAUAUAUAUAUAUAUAUAUACUAACUCAGGUGUUAGAACUAGAGAAGUUGCCCUUAUGGAGGGAGGGGUGCUGUGCUUAUCUUCCUUUUGAAGGCUCUUAUUUAAUGUAUGUUAGCCAAAGGCCAUUCCCUUCUCCCCAUCCUCUGCAGAAUCACCAACUUUGAGGUAAGAAAAGUAAUUGAGAAAUUUGUUCGGUUAAAAAGAAUGCGCAAUCCUAACGGGACUUGAAACUACUCAAUUAUCCAAAGACGGUGGGUCGAGUCAUUCUCAAUCCAGGCGUUAAUUUUGACUUGGAAGAGAGGGAGGGAGUUAAGGCCUCGCGAAUGGGUCAUUGUUUUUUAAUCUAAUUAAUUGGACAUAUGUUUCCAGGGCCCAAAAGUGUAAAAUGGGUUGGUUACAUAUCCUGAAGAAGACCAAAUGGAAGAUGGGGGUGUCGAACUCGGAACUGAAAGAUUGAAUUUGGACAAAUGCAGCCGUGUCAUGGCAUCCUUCAAUCAAAACCACUCAUCAAAAUCCUACAACUCUCUCAGGAGCACAACAAAAUAUGCAAAAAUCAACCAGCUCUGUCUUGCUGUUUUCUCAUUUCAUUUCUUCUUCGUCGAUACUCUCUAUCUGCUGCGCCCUGCGAUGCGAUAGGAGAGAGUCUGUCUGUUUGGCCUCGCACCCUCGAAGAUAGAUACGAAUAGAAUAGGACCCUCCUCAAAAGAUAAUAGAUAGAGAGGUCUGCGUUCGUUUCGGAACUUAGUCCCACCAUAAAUUGUCAGUUGGGACUUUAUUUUAAUUUAAUUCUGGUAUAUCAAAGCACAGGCGAAGAAGAAGAACACAAAUUCUGCCAAAUUGCUACUUAACUCGGGAAGCCCUGGGAUGGCAUAUAUCUUGCCCAACCUCUCCCCGACAAUCAUCCACUCCAAGGAAAAAUCACUCCACCCCUCCUCUCCUCCUCCUCCUCCUCCUCCUCUGCUUCUACCCCCACCGCCUCCUAGGCAGGCCUCCUCUCUUUCUGUUCCCACCAAGCAGCAGCUGCAGCACCCGCGCCACCACCUACUCCUCCACCACCCCACCACCUGUGCCACCGCGACUGCUGCCGUUGCUCUUGCUUCUCCUCAGGAUAAUAAGCAACAUGACCACAGGGAUGAUUUCUUUGUGAACCUGGGUCUGGCUGUGCGGACUCUAAGGGAAGACCUCCCUCUCCUCUUCACCAAAGACCUCAAUUAUGACAUUUAUAGGUACUCUUUUCCCUUUUCCGCUUAUUCUCUCAACUCAUGCUUCCUUUGUAACUAAAAUCUGGCCACACUUUUUGUGGAUAAAUAUAUAAAUACCGUAUCAGCUGAAUAAUGGAUUGGUAGCAAGUGCUCUACUAAAAUUCCUUCCUUUUGGCACUUCGGAGGAGCAGGGAUGACAUCACAUUCGUGGACCCGUUAAACACCUUCGCUGGGAUUGAAAAGUACAAACUGAUCUUCUGGGCUUUGAGAUUCCACGGCAGAAUCUUGUUUAGGGAGAUUUCACUUCAACUACUUAGGAUUUGGCAGCCGUCUGAGAAUUUGAUUCUGAUCAGAUGGAACUUGAGGGGUGUUCCUCGGGUCCCCUGGGAGGCCAGGGGCGAAUUCCAGGCCACCUCCAGGUAUAAGCUGGACCGCAACGGUAAAAUCUACGAGCACAAAGUUGAUAACUUGGCAUUCAACUUCCCACAGCCCCUAAAACCUGCGGCUUCUGUGCUCGACCUGGUUGCUUCGUGUCCUACCAGCCCAAAUCCUACAUUUCUCUGGGGACCUGCCGAUGUGCAUUCUUCUUCCUGGGUUGAAUUUUACCGAGCCGUCAAGGAGACUUUGGACAGAGAAACAUCGUUGAUUUCUCAAGAUUGCUUAAUUCCUUGUUCAUAGAGAACACGUAUUUCAGGGCAUUACUAUUAGGUGCCUCAAACUUUUUAUAUGCAAAUGCAAAUGCUAUGCAUUAUUCACUUGGCAGUUCACGAUAACUUCAGCAAAGGAACACGAGUACACGCGCACGCAUACCUAUUAUAUACUUUGUAGUUAUGCUGAAGGAUUUCGGCAUUGUUUUGCUAAUAAGAUUCGAAUGGUAUGUAUAGCUUCUGUUAACUGUUGAUUCUAAUAAAGCCUGCCCAUGUCUAUUAUUUUUCUGCUGCUACAAUUUCGUUCAGUUCCUCUUUUAUCUAGAACUUUCUCUCUGUCUCUGUCUGCAAUGUAGUGGUAUUCAUCAACAAUCACCAUCUUUGAGUUCUUUACCGAGCCGUCUUAAAGUUCUGAUUGAUCAAAGAGAGCUCACCGUGUGCAAAUUUUUAUUGGUUAGGCUAUGCAAUUUUCACUCGUCUUUCUAGCUUAGAGCUGUCCCUUCUUUAUCAUCUGCAGUUAGUGAUAUAUAUACUCCUCGUAUUGUCCGUAAGCACCACGGAGUUCAGCUUGAACAGCACUCCACAUUUUGUUGCCAACCAAUUUAAUAGAACCAUCUUUUGUAAAAGCUAUGAUAGUCAUUUUGCUAGUAUUUCAGGCUGGCCUUUUGCUUUAUUUCCUACCAAGCGUACACCUCCUGCAGAGUAAAACUGGUGUCGCUCAGGUCCGAUAUAAGGCUUCAAUCUAAUUAUAGUGCACAAUACGUCCAAACCAGUGUCUGGCUCCUACCAUUUAGAAUCAUAUUUCUCAAUACAACAUCUAUGUUCAACAAUUUCAGCGACAAUUGAGUCGCAUGUCUGGGCAAGAUUACAAUGGAUUUGGUUUCAGCUCAUUAUAUGAGCAGUCCAUCUAGCCCUCAUCAUCUAAAUUUUAGCUCUGUUCAAUUCUUGUAACAUUGAUUUUCAUGACUGCACUGGGGAAGCACUUCUACUGGAUUUAUAGCUGCAACCCUGCCGAACUCAAACCUCAUGUAUUUCUCAUAUGUUACUUUCAGCAUAGCUGUUUUAGCAGCUUUGUGAAAUUUCAAGAUCAUCUCUGCGCAGCUUCUGCGAUAUUCCAAUUUGAAAAUGAUUAAAUCACGAUAGAUAUAUGCAACCUGAUAAAGAAUAUUCAACCGGCAAAAACCUGCCUGAUUUGAGAUUCUCUGUAGCGGGAAUGUUUCUCAAGCAGUGGGGUCCAUGUUGGAUUCAUUUCCAUUGUACAUCUAGCGAGAUAGAUGGCUGAUGCACAUAGCAAUGAGGGCUUAUAUUUCAAAGCCUCGUACUC